AUAUGGAUGGUAUUCAUCCUGUAAUUGCUUACACUAGAGCGACACAAAACUAGCUCUAAUUCAUCAAUAUAAUGUACUCCCUCCGCCCGGAAAAGGUUGUCUCCAGCCUAGUGUAGUGCAAAUUUUGCAAAAACGUCCUUGUAGCUCUAAAUCCUUACAAAUAAGUCGUCAUCUCCUUCCUUCUUCCUCCGCCCGUCGCCCCGGACCUGCUCCGCCACCGCCCAAGAUGUGCUCCUCCGGCGCCAAGGUGCUGCGCCGCCCAAUUGCUUCUUUGCCACUGCCUAGGACCCGCUCC
rnacentral:lncRNA from 1 species